rnacentral:misc_RNA from 1 species
GAUGAAGAACGUAGCGAAAUGCGAUAAGUAGUGUGAAUUGCAGAAUUCAGUGAAUCAUCGAAUCUUUGAACGCACAUUGCGCCCGCCAGUAUUCAGGCGGGCAUGCCUGUUCGAGCGUCAUUUCAACCCUCAAGCCCAGCUUGGUGUUGGGGAUCGGCACAGGCGCCCUCGGGCGCCCGCCGUCCCCUAAAUCUAGUGGCGGUCCCGCUGCAGCCUCCUCUGCGUAGUAGUUUUCUCCUCGCAAGGGCAGCUCGGUGGCGACCUCGCCGUAAAACCCCCAACUUCUGAAAGGUUGACCUCGAAUCAGGUAGGAAUACCCGCUGAACUUAAGCAUAUCAAUAAGCGGAGGA